rnacentral:rRNA from 1 species
AACGAACGCUGGCGGCAGGCUUAACACAUGCAAGUCGAACGCAGCGCAAGAUGAGUGGCAGACGGGUGAGUAACGCGUGGGAACAUACCCUUUUCUACGGAAUAGCUCUGGGAAACUGGAAUUAAUACCGUAUACGCCCUACGGGGGAAAGAUUUAUCGGGGAAGGAUUGGCCCGCGUUGGAUUAGCUAGUUGGUGGGGUAAAGGCCUACCAAGGCGACGAUCCAUAGCUGGUCUGAGAGGAUGAUCAGCCACAUUGGGACUGAGACGCGGCCCAAACUCCUACGGGAGGCAGCAGUGGGGAAUAUUGGACAAUGGGCGCAAGCCUGAUCCAGCCAUGCCGCGUGAGUGAUGAAGGCCUUAGGGUUGUAAAGCUCUUUCACCGAUGAAGAUAAUGACGGUAGUCGGAGAAGAAGCCCCGGCUAACUUCGUGCCAGCCGCCGCAGUAAAAC